AUGGCCGGCGUUAGGAGCCUCGUGCUGCUCCUCCUGGUGCUCGCCGUCGCGCUGUCCGCCUCCGCCUCGUCCAUCGCCGGCGGGGACCACCUGCAGCUCGGCCUCCUCUCCGGCGGCGCUGGCCGCGGGGAGUGCAGGGGCACCGUGGCCGAGUGCGGCGGGGAGGACGCGGAGGGGGAGCUCGGGUCCGCGUCGGCCGAGGCGCACCGCCGCGUGCUGCAGGGCCGCGGCUACAUCAGCUACGGCGCGCUGCGCAGGGGCACCGUCCCCUGCAACCGCCGCGGCGCCAGCUACUACAACUGCCGCCCCGGCGCCCAGGCCAACCCCUACCACCGCGGAUGCUCCCGCAUCACCCGCUGCCGCGGCUAA
rnacentral:rRNA from 1 species